UACGUAGGUGGCAAGCGUUGUUCGGAAUUAUUGGGCGUAAAGGGCGCGUAGGCGGUUUGUUGCGUCGGCUGUGAAAUCCCGAGGCUCAAUCUCGGGUCUGCAGUCGAUACGAGCAAACUAGAGUGUUGCAGGGGAGACUGGAAUUCCUGGUGUAGCGGUGAAAUGCGCAGAUAUCAGGAGGAACACCGGUGGCGAAGGCGGGUCUCUGGGCAACAACUGACGCUGAGGAGCGAAAGCGUGGGGAGCGAACAGG
rnacentral:rRNA from 1 species